rnacentral:rRNA from 1 species
AAACGACUCUCGGCAACGGAUAUCUCGGCUCUCGCAUCGAUGAAGAACGUAGCGAAAUGCGAUACUUGGUGUGAAUUGCAGAAUCCCGUGAACCAUCGAGUCUUUGAACGCAAGCUGCGCCCCAAGCCGUCAGACCGAGGGCACGUCUGCCUGGGUGUCACG